UAGGGAAUCUUCCGCAAUGGGCGAAAGCCUGACGGAGCAACGCCGCGUGAGUGAUGAAGGUCUUCGGAUCGUAAAACUCUGUUAUUAGGGAAGAACAAAUGUGUAAGUACUAUGCACGUCUUGACGGUACCUAAUCAGAAAGCCACGGCUAACUACGUGCCAGCAGCCGCGGUAAUACGUAGGUGGCAAGCGUUAUCCGGAAUUAUUGGGCGUAAAGCGCGCGUAGGCGGUUUUUUAAGUCUGAUGUGAAAGCCCACGGCUCAACCGUGGAGGGUCAUUGGAAACUGGAAAACUUGAGUGCAGAAGAGGAAAGUGGAAUUCCAUGUGUAGCGGUGAAAUGCGCAGAGAUAUGGAGGAACACCAGUGGCGAAGGCGACUUUCUGGUCUGUAACUGACGCUGAUGUGCGAAAGCGUGGGGAUCAAACAGG
rnacentral:rRNA from 1 species